rnacentral:rRNA from 1 species
AGUGAACGCUGGCGGUAGGCCUAACACAUGCAAGUCGAACGGCAGCACAGUAAGAGCUUGCUCUUACGGGUGGCGAGUGGCGGACGGGUGAGGAAUACAUCGGAAUCUACUUUUUCGUGGGGGAUAACGUAGGGAAACUUACGCUAAUACCGCAUACGACCUACGGGUGAAAGCAGGGGAUCUUCGGACCUUGCGCGAUUGAAUGAGCCGAUGUCGGAUUAGCUAGUUGGCGGGGUAAAGGCCCACCAAGGCGACGAUCCGUAGCUGGUCUGAGAGGAUGAAUAGCCAAACCGGAACCUGAAACCGGUUCCGACCUCUUAGGGGAGGAGGCGUUGGGAAUUUUUGACAAUGGGGCGAAACCUGGUCCCGCCCUACCGCGUUGGUGGAAGAAGGCUUCCGGGUGGAAAACCCCUUUUGUUGGAAAAGAAAACAGCCAGGUUAAUCCCCGGCGUUCUGGCGGUAACCCAAGAAUAAGCACCGGCUAACUUCGUG